rnacentral:tRNA from 1 species
GGGGCUGUGGCUCAGAGGUAGAGCGCUCGCCUACUAUGAUGCCUGAGGCACUGGGUUUGAUCCCCAGCACCACA